CGCACGGGUGCGUAACGCGUAUAGAACCUACCUUUUACUGAGGGAUAGCCUUUAGAAAUGAAGAUUAAUGCCCCAUAGUAUUGUAGACUGGCAUCAGUUUACAAUUAAAGAUUUAUUGGUAAAAGAUGGCUAUGCGUCCUAUUAGUUAGUUGGUGAGGUAACGGCUCACCAAGACAGCGAUAGGUAGGGGUCCUGAGAGGGAGAUCCCCCACACUGGUACUGAGACACGGACCAGACUCC
rnacentral:rRNA from 1 species